UUUCUUGCAUGAAAUACUCAAAGGACUGCCUACAAGCCCAAACUGGCGAAGGAUCUCUCAAGGCAUGAAAAAUAAAUUACACAAAAAAACUGCAGAGCUGACGCCUGAUUGAAGAAGUUAAUUUUUACUUGAAGUGAUACACAAGUUCAUACCAUGUAAAACCUUGACCGACAUGUGAUCCAUGGGGCAUGAAAACAUAACCCAGAUGGUUCUCGUGAAUAUAAGAUCCUCUGUAAAAAAAGCUAAUCGAAACAGCACCUGCUAUAAGAUUCCGUGUUUAUAAACUGUGGAUUCUAAAUGAUUUUUACCACGAAACAUCGAGCACAGAGACAAAUUUAACAAUGACUGGAUCAAGAAAUCAAUAAGCAUCAGUUCUUAGACAGAAAGAUGCUGUUAGCUUUGACAGAUAAAACAUCAUGGUUUCUAAAGUACAUUAACAACACUCAAUUCAACCAGCAACCUGGCUCCUAAAGAACACCCAACAUCAGUAAGACUACAUUUU